rnacentral:lncRNA from 1 species
AGGCAUCUGCAUAUGAAUCUCACAUGUAGUUGAGAAAUCAUGGAUGUGGCAACUGUGAGUGUUUGAAGAAGUGAAGCAUUGCUGUACUCACAAAAUGCCAUGAAACUUGAAAUUAAACCUAAAGACCUUAUUAGACUCAAAUCACAUAUUUUUGGCAAGAAAAUUGUAUUGUUCAUGCUAUCAAUUGCCUUUUGUGUUAUAUGAGAAGCUGAGUGAUAUGUCAUUGUGUGAAUAUACCACAUAUACAAGCAGUUCCUUAACUAAAGGACCAACUCAGGGAAGAAGUUCAUUGGUACAAACCCCACACCAUGGGACCCCUGGAGGACUAUACCUUAGAAGCAGGGAUGAAAGAGAGUUCUGGGACUCAGACUGGCUCUUCUUGCUCCUCUGCUUGCAGACAGCCUGUUGUGGAACCUUGUGAUCAGGUUGGGCUGGAAAAUCCAUUUCUCACGGUUCCAAAGGCUGGGAAGCCAGGGUCAAGGUCCUGCAGAUCCAGUGUCUGGCGAAGCCCUUCUUCCGGGUUUGGAAAUGGCUGCCUUCUCCUUCUAUCCUCACACGGCAGAGAGAGAAAGAGACUGUGAGAAACAGAGGAAGUACUCCAGGGAGUUCUGCAAUGUCUUCUAAAAGGAUGCUAAUCACAUCAUGGGGGCUCCAUCUUUGUGACCUAAUCACUUCCCAAAGGCCCCACAUCCUAAUACCGUCACAUGGGAAGUGAGGGUUUCAACAUGUGAAUUUGUGAGGGGACACAAACAUUCAGUCCAUGGCACUAACAUACCCAACACCAGAAUCUGAGUGGAGAGUUUCAUCUGGGUGAUAUCCCUUCAGUUUGUGUAAAGCCCUGAACUCCACCUCGUCUUUCUCAGCUGCUUUUCCUGUUUUCUCUGCCAUGGUGAUGCUGCUGCCUUCCACUCAAGUUAUGAGAAGACAGGGUCCCACAGUUUACCAUCUGCUUCUGUCACCCGUCUUGAGUUGGUCACAAAUUCCUACUGAUGAUACCACACAAAGGACUCCUGGGCAUGUCGUCUCCUCUCUUGAAAACAUAGGGUCUUAGUCCAGGUCUUCAUUUAUGCAUUCGUCCAACAUUUCCUGUUUUACUUUCUUUCAUGGUGUUCUCCAUGGUGGUGAUUAAAUAAGCUUCCUAAAAUACAGAAAAAAUAAUGUCAUUAUUUGCUUAAAAACUCCCCAUUUCUUCUCCAUUGCUCAUUUUUUAAAUAACACAUUUUUGUUAUUGUGGCAGGAUACGCAUAACAAAAUGACCAUUCUGAGUGCACAGUUCUGGGGUACUGAGUCCAUUCACAUGGUUGUGCAACCAUCACCACCACUCAUCUCUAGAAUGCUUUCCAUCCUUCAAAACCGAAACUUCGUACUCAUUAAACAAUUCCCCACUUCUCUCUCCCCUCAGAACCUGGCAACCACCAUUUAACUUUUUGUCUCUGUGAGUUUGACUAUUCUGGAUAUCUCAUAUAAGUGGAGUCACACGUUGUCUUUUUGUGACUGGUUUAUUUCACUUGGUUUAAUGUCUUAAGGUUCAUCCCUGUUGUGGCACAUUGCUGUGAUUUGAAUGGGUCACCUUGAAAAUCCAGGUGUUAUCAAUGUGGUACUAUUAAGAGGUGGGGGUUUUAGGUGGUGAUUAGAUCAAGAGAGCUCUUCCAUCAUGAGUGAGAUUAGGUGCCCUUAUAAAAGGACUUCAUGAAGGAGUUUGUCCCCCUUUUGCCCUUCUUCCUUUUGCCAUGUAAGAACACAGUGCUCCUCCCUUCUGGAGGCUGCAGCAAUAAGGCCUCCUCUUGGAAGUAGAGAGCCACCCUGAACCAGAUGCUGAAUCUGCUGGCAUCUUGAUCUUGGACUUAUAGCUCCCAGAACUAUAAGAAAUAAAUUUCUGUUCAUUAAUAAUUACCAGUUUUUGGUAUUUUGUCAUAGCAGCGCAAGCAGACCAAGACACAUAUAUAAGGAUUUCUUCCUUUUGAUGGGUGAAUAAUAUUCCAUUGUAUGUGUAGAGUACAUUUCAAUUAUUCUAUCAUCCAUAGGUGGACCUGAGAGGUUGCUUCCAUAUUUUGACUAUUGCAAAUAAUGCUGCUAUGAACAUGAGUAUACAGAUAUUUGGGUCCGUGCUUUCAUUCCUCUUGGGUAUAUACCUAGAAGUAGAAUUUCUGGAUUGUAUGGUAAUUCUAUAUUUAAUAUUUUCAAGAACUGCCACGCUGUUUUCCGCAGCUGCUGCACCAGUUUACCUUCCCACCAACAGUGCUCAAGGGUUUCAAUUUCUCUACAUUCUUGCUAACACUUGUUAUUUUCUGUUACUUAUUUAGUUUUUUAUUUUUGAUAAUAGUCUAAUGAGUGUGAGGUUGUAUCUCAUCGUGGUUUGAUUUCCAUUUUCCAUUAUAACUAGUGAUGUUGAAGAUCUUUUCGGGUAGUUACUGGUCAUUUGUAUAUCUGUCUUGGAGAAAUAUCUAUUCAAGUCCUUUGCCCAUUUUUCG